GGUCCAGUAGCUCAGUGGAUAGAGCGGCCGCCUCCUAAGCGGCAGGUCGGCCGUUCGAUCCGGCCCUGGAUCA
rnacentral:tRNA from 1 species